AGCUGGCAGUGCUUGUGUGGGUGAGCAGGGGCAGGGGGGAGAGCAGGAGGGUCAGGGGCUGCCCCAGGGGCUCAGGGGAGCUGGCAGAGCUUGUGCAGGUGAGAAGGGGCAGGGGCGAGAGUAGGAGGCGCAGGGGGCUGCCCCAGGGGCUCAGGGGAGCUGGAAGAGCUUGUGUAGGUGAGCAGGGGCAGGGGGGAGAGCAGGAGGGGCAGGGGGUUGCCCCAGGGGCUCAGGGACCAGACAGAGCUUGUGCAGGUGAGCAGGGGCAGGGGGGAGAGCAGGAGGGGCAGGGGGCUACCCAGAGGCUCAGCGAGCAGACAGGGCUUAUGCAGGUGAGCCGGUUCAGCGGGGAGAGCAGGAGGCCCAGGAGGCUGCCCCAGGGGCUCAGGGGAGCCCUCAGAGUUUGUGCAGGUGAGCAGGGGUAGAGCUGGAGAUCAGAAGGGACAAGGGCUGCCCCAGGGGCUCAGGGGAGCAGGCAGAGCUUGUGUAGGUGAGCAGGGGCAGGGAGGAGAGCAGGAGGGGCAGGGGGUUGCACCAGGGGCUCAGAGGAGCUGGCAGUGCUUGUGUGGGUGAGCAGGGGCAGGGGGGAGAGCAGGAGGGUCAGGGGGCUGCCCCGGGGGCUCAGGGGAGCUCGCAGAGCUUGUGCAGGUGAGAAGGGGCAGGGGCGAGAGUAGGAGGCGCAGGGGGCUGCCCCAGGGGCUCAGGGAGCAGACAGAGCUUGUGCAGUUGAGCAGGGGCAAGGGGGACAGCAGGAGGGGCAGGGG